UGGGGAAUAUUGCACAAUGGAGGGAACUCUGAUGCAGCGACGCCGCGUGAGUGAUGAAGGAAUUCGUUUCGUAAAACUCUGUUCUAUGGGAAGAAAAGGACUGUACCAUAGGAGAAAGCUCCGGCUAAAUACGUGCCAGCAGCCGCGGUAAUACGUAUGGAGCGAGCGUUGUCCGGAAUUAUUGGGCGUAAAGGGUGCGCAGGCGGCUUUACAAGUUGGAUGUGAAAUAUUGUGGCUCAACCACAAACGUGCAUCCAAAACUGCAAAGCUUGAGUUAAGGAGAGGUAAGUGGAAUUCCUGGUGUAGCGGUGAAUGCGUAGAUAUCAGGAGGAAUACCGGUGGCGAAGGCGACUUACUGGACUUAAACUGACGCUCAGGCACGAAAGCGUGGGGAGCAAACAGG
rnacentral:rRNA from 1 species